rnacentral:rRNA from 1 species
CCUACGGGCGGCAGCAGUGGGGAAUAUUGCACAAUGGGGGAAACCCUGAUGCAGCGACGCCGCGUGAAGGAAGAAGUAUUUCGGUAUGUAAACUUCUAUCAGCAGGGAAGAAAAUGACGGUACCUGACUAAGAAGCCCCGGCUAACUACGUGCCAGCAGCCGCGGUAAUACGGAGGGGGCCAGCGUUAUCCGGAUUUACUGGGUGUAAAGGGAGCGUAGGCGGUUUAGCAAGUCAGAAGUGAAAGCCCGGGGGUCAACUCGGGGAGUGCUUUUGCAACUGGUGAACUAGAUUGCCGGAGAGGUAAGUGGAAUUCCUAGGGUAGCGGUUAAAUGCGUAGAUAUUAGGAAGAACACCAGUGGCGAAGGCGGCUUACUGGACUGUAAAUGACGCUGAGGCUCGAAAGCGUGGGGAGCAAACAGGAUUAGAUACCCUGGUAGUC